rnacentral:tRNA from 1 species
GCUGACAUGGCUCAGUGGUUGAGCAUCAACCUAUGAACUGAUAGGUCAUGGUUCGAUUCCAGGUCACGGCA